rnacentral:rRNA from 1 species
GAUGAACGCUGGCGGCGUGCCUAAUACAUGCAAGUCGAGCGAACAGACGAGGAGCUUGCUCCUCUGACGUUAGCGGCGGACGGGUGAGUAACACGUGGAUAACCUACCUAUAAGACUGGGAUAACUUCGGGAAACCGGAGCUAAUACCGGAUAAUAUAUUGAACCGCAUGGUUCAAUAGUGAAAGACGGUUUUGCUGUCACUUAUAGAUGGAUCCGCGCCGCAUUAGCUAGUUGGUAAGGUAACGGCUUACCAAGGCAACGAUGCGUAGCCGACCUGAGAGGGUGAUCGGCCACACUGGAACUGAGACACGGUCCAGACUCCUACGGGAGGCAGCAGUAGGGAAUCUUCCGCAAUGGGCGAAAGCUUGACGGAGCAACGCCGCGUGAGUGAUGAAGGUCUUCGGAUCGUAAAACUCUGUUAUUAGGGAAGAACAAAUGUGUAAGUAACGAUGCACGUCUUGACGGUACCUAAUCAGAAAGCCACGGCUAACUACGU